GGCCUCAAGUAUAGCAGAUCAAUACUCUGAGCUUGAGUAGUGUUCAUUCCUCCUAAUCCUAAGCGUGCUGUUUUGUAAGUAUAUUAAACAUAAAGGGAUUGUGGGAUAGAUCUGAAGGCUUAUUUGGGGUGGUUCUCUUAAUUUUAAGUUGUAAUUAGAAGUUACAACUAACAUUUUUAGAAAUAAAUUAAUCUCGCGAAGCUAGUAGUGGGCUCUUGCCACAGUAUUUAUUAAGAUGGAUUAUGCCCUGCAUUUUUGAAGGCUGUAAGUAGGCAACAAAAGACUAUGUAGUGUCCUGAAGUCGAUUUGAAAGUAUUUUAAAUGCUUUUUCCAUUAACAAUAUAUAUUUUCAAACUCUUGGAAACCACAAGAAGCAGGCAUUUUAAAAAAUAGACAUGGUUGUUCACUUUAUAUUCCCCAUCUCCCCUGAUUUUCUCUAGAAUUUUAUUUUAUGCUGGGUUAUGAGGUUAAUGGUAGUGUACUCAAAUUUUCUUGUAUACACUAACAAAUGGGUAAAAGUGGUCAAGGGAGACAGAAUACGGUUGGUCUCUGAGAUUCAAGUGAUCUUUUAGGUUAGCACUUCUUGCUAUUGAAAUGCAGUACACAACAUGAUGACCACCACCACAUUAGCUGUACUGUUACACUAAUCCUGUUGCAUCACAAAAACUGAACACCGUGUGGACAAGACUGCAAAGAAGAAAAUAUCGUAGGGACUUUUGCUUUUGAGAGCCAGUGCUUGUACAGCCAGAUGGCUUAGCUCCCUGUUACAUAGGGAUGUACUCCACACAUAGCAAGCAUCUGACAGGAAGCUGCCCAGCAAAACUUAAUUAUUCUAUCUGGCAGGGGAAGGUGGUGCGGCCAUCAAAUUCUCAGGUUUGAUCCCAAUGAUACAUGCACUCCUUCCUUGGUGUUGAUGAUGGGUGCUUGUCUUCCUUGUCUUCCUCUUCCUCCCCUCCUAUCUUUGCAAAACUUUCAAAGCCACUUGGGUUCCUUGCAAGAAGGAGGAGGGCAGGAUAGAUAUGCAAUAUAAUAAUCCCAUAGCAUUUAAAUUAGGAACUAUUUUGUAUAUAAAUGAGAGAUCACUGCUAAAGUUGUUUAAAAUGUGGCACUGUUAUUGCUUCCUGUACGCCUGAGUUUUCAUUCUAUUUUUACUUUCUAGUCUUACCUUUAUUAAAGUGCUUAAUGUGGAACUUAGGGGCUAGUGUGUCCUUUUGGUAAGUCCAAGGUUUUAAUUCUUCACAUGGCUUAUUGCUGUACUACAGUUCUAGAUAGGAAGCAAUAUGAAGGGGACCAGGGUUGGCUCAGCCUUGGGAAAGCGGAGUCAACUAGUGGCUGCCCCCUCUGUCCUACCUAAAGUCAGCACAAGCAUUCCAGGGUGCUGCUCAACCAAGACUAGAGAAAAUUGAGAAGAGGCAUUUUAAAAGGGGUUGGACAGAUGUGGAUGGAUUGUGGACUAACAACAGUUCUGAUCUUUUGUGCCAUAACUAUGUCCUGGUGAAGGAGGUAGUUUGAUCACAGGGAUUUACUUUGAAGGGGACUGCAGCUGCCCUUUUUAAUAGGCAUGGAUAUUGGGACUAAACUACUGUAGCAGUAUAUCAGCUGUCUUUGCCUAGGUUGCCUACAUAUCUUGUUAUGUAUACCUGUAAGUAUUCUAUCAGUAGCCAAGGUUCACACUUGAAAGUAACUUAAACCCAAAAUAAGUUCUGGAAUGAUAUAAUGAUCUACUUUAAAAGUGAGUAAUUUUCUUCUAGCCUUGGGGAAUAAUUCAUUAUACUCCCAAGUCCUCACUGAACAGCGCAAAAAUUGUAUUUUUUAGUGGCAUGUGGUCAAAAAUGAAAAACAGGCUUUUCUGUGAGAAUCUGGCUCGGUUUGUGCACCAAAGAAUGUGUAUGGGGAAGGGCCAUCCCCCUGUUAGAGGCCUGCAGAAUAAGUAACUGUAGGAAACAGUCAUAUAUUGCUUGAAUGAAAUGACCUGGAAAUGUAAUAUAACACUGUUCUCUGUGGCAUCCUUCCUGAUAAUUUUCAGAGUAGAAUAAAGGAGCAUUGGCUUCACUGGAUGUAGCAUAAUUAUUCCAGAUAUCAAGAACUGGACAGGAGAAGAUUCUUCACUUGAAAGGCUAGAAAGGAGAGUGGUGGGGUACCUGAUAAUAGGCAUCAGGAGCUUUUCUUUCCAGCUCUGAGUAGAUUUGCAAUUCAUGCUAAUUUAAUAAAGGUCUUUUAACUAGCAUACUUGGGGGAACUACUAUGCUGAAGGCUAGUAAUUUAAAUAAUUAGAACUUCCUACUGAAUGAAUGGGUAGCAAGAGUUUGUGGUAGUCGUGGUCAUAACUGUGACCACUGUGACAUAGUUUGUGGUCACUACUGUGUCUUGUCUAGAAUUCCACACUAACCCUCCAGAUUUUGCAACUGAAAUACAAUUAAAUCAGGCAAGUUGAUACAGCUUGCUUAGACAUAAGUAAUUUUUGACUUGUAAAUGAGGCUUUGCACCAUCUUUGCAAUAUCAAGCAUUGGCUGUGAUGAGGAAGGUAUUCAUGAUACCGUAAUGUAUGGGGAAGGAGUAAGUAGGUGAAAGUAACAGUGUAUGUACAAGAUUCUUUCUGAUCCUUUGGCCAAAAACAAGGUGGUGGUGCUGGUUUUCAGUAUUUCUCCAGAACUAUGUAGAAAUAACUUUGUAGCGUACCUUAUGAAGACAGUUGACUUUCAGGACCUUUUGGACCCAGCAGAAUUCAGAACCCAGUGAUUUGAGCCCAAGAUAAUGGCUGUAAUGCCUUGGAUCCCUUAGAAUCCAAAAAGCAAGGGUGGGAAGAGAGGUUUUUGGGGGGGGGGGCAAAUUGCACCACAGGCUGGAGAUCAGUAAGUGCAACCACAUCCACUGGUUACUCCGCACAUUUUGACAUUCUCAGUGCUGAAAAAGGGACUUGGCAACAGCAAUUCCUCCUGGCAUGGCUGAGUCCCAAUAGCAUCUUUAUAUUGGUAUUACACACUAUGUAGAUGGACUUAGCUUGGAUGAGGAAGAGCAUCUGCUCCUUCCGGAGCCAGUCAAAUGCCUUGUGGCUAGCAUCCAUACUGAUCACUAAAAUCCCCAUCUCUUCAUGCAUCUCCCCAGUCCAGGAAAUGUUAGGAAUUGUAGCAUACCCAAGAAAAUUGAACAAUUUGUUGAAUGAGUUUAUGUAUGAACUAACCAUGAUGGCCUAAGACUUGAAAAGGCCAUGAGAGACCUCAGUGCUGAGUAAGUUCAUAUUGAAUGCUAGAGCUCUCUUGUUUACCCUGAUCAAUCUGUAAGCAUUUUUAUGGUUAACAAAAGGAAUAAAACUGUGAAAAAAGGAAAAUGUGAUAUUGAUGUAAUAUUUUGAUGUUCUUGCAGCAACUGAUGUUCAAGUACAUUGAUGAGAAUGGGACAUAAAUAAGAAGAACCUCAAAGGCAAUUUAGUUCUAGUUAUAUCCUUACAUAGCUAAAUCACAGACCUAAACUUCAUUUGACUGUUCAUUUUUUCCAUACUGGAAAUUGCACAACUUUCUCAAGUUGUUCUUGGUUAAUCUCUAUAUUAUCACCAGUUUGUGACUCCCAUGACAUAGAAAGCAGCUUGCUGUGGAGAUCACCACUCGCUUAAAGGAACGCCAUAUUAACAUUGGUCUAUAAAAUUCAAAGUAUAAGGAAUGUACCAGCCCAAGUGGAGAUUGGGAGGGGUAAGCAUGAUAGCCAGAUCAACUAGGAGUGCAAAAACACAAUGCUUCAGAACUAGGACUCUUUCUGUCGCAGAACAGGAAGGAAACUGCCUUACUGCAAGGAAUAAUAUGUCUGUUUCUCUAUGGGAUUUCUCCAUCCACACUACUUGUGAGUUCCCUUUCCAUCUUUUAACAUCUGACAGCAGAAACCAGCUGCCAGGAAAGCACCAUCAGUAUCCCACUGUAAUAACCCUUUUGUUUUUACUGCGCUGAAUAAACAACUAUAAAUAUGACAUUCAAAAACUCACCCCCUGCCUUCACCCACAGCUGGGAAAUCGCCCGGCCUUUCCAAAAAGUGGCUUUCUAGAUACUUGGCAGAUAAUUCCAGAUAAAAGUGAUGAGCUAGACCACUGCUCUGACUGGUUGUUAAUCCGUUCUAGACAGCAAAGCCUAGAUUCAUCCGAAGAACAUCUUUGCCUCUACGGGAACUUGUGGUAAGUAGCACUCAUUUUCAAAACCAUGUGCCGACCAAGGCUGCUUGAUAUUCCCCACAGAGCUAUGAAAGGUGAGUGAAUAAUCAUUACCUCAGGUUCCUAAUUCUGAGAAGGGGGCCUUGAUUACCCAGGAAGUUGGUUGCAAGUAAGGCAGGAUCACUAACAGAAGGUAUAAGCCAGGAUGUUAACGUACUAUCCAUUUUCAACUACUGUGUGGGUAUGCAUUGCCCCACAGUCUUUGGCUAGGAUACAUAGUCUGAAACUCAACCAGCAUAUGUUUUACUUAUUUAGGAAAGGAAGUACCCCUUGUCAUCUAUUCCUGCUGCUACCCUCUGAAGAUUAAACUGGUAUUCUAGGUUGAAAGAUCCUCUAUUUGACAACCAUAACCAUCUUGUCUUUUAACCAGAUGCUUUCAGAUACAUAGCUACCUUCCUCAGAUACAGUGUUGGUCAAAUAUUAAAAACGUGGCUUAAAACAGAUAAAUUACUCCCUCUUAUGCCCCAAUAUGCACAGAAUCCAUUGUACCGUUCCAAUGUAUGUUGUCAGGUGGAGUUCCUAACCAAAGUUCAUAAUGGUUUGCAGUAUCAGGGUGGUAGUUAAUCUACACAAGAAGUGAAGGAUGAGGUUUGCUAUAGGCUACACUGCUUCUUUGUGGACACUGAAGAAAAUCACUGUGUUUGAAACAUAAUGCUGAAGGACAGCUUUACAAAUACCCUGGACUGACAGAAAGAUGAAUUAGUGGGCCCUACAUUAAAUCAAGCCAGAAACUGCCCUGGAAGCAAAAUUCCAAAACAGGUUACUUCGAGCACAUCAUGAGAAGGCAAGACUCAACCAGGAAAGAAAAUAAUGCUUGGCAGAGUCAAGGACAGAAGAAGGAAUAGUACAAGAAGAGGAUUACUAAAUAUGAGAUAGCUUGAUUCCACGAAGAAAGCCACAGUUUUGAAUACAAGAGUUGAGCAAGGCUGUUGAAGGAGGACAUUUUGGAGGGCUUUCAUUCAUAGAGUCUCCAUCGAUGUCACAUAACUGCCUAAUCCUACUAAUGCAAAAAAGUUUAAGUGGCAACCCCCCCCCCUUAAACUUCCUUUUAUUGUUUCCUUCAAAUUCAAAAAGCAGAAGUUGCUUGACCUUCUUACCACUCCUUCCACAGCCAUUCUUUCCAGGGGUAUUCACUUUUCACCUUGUCAUUUUGAAAAAGAAAAACAAAAUUAUUACUCAGUAGCAAAGAAUACGCUCAUGAUCCUCAUUAGAAUAAAACAAUGGAGUCAUUUUCCAAAUUGCAUUGUUCUUGUCUUGAGGUUGCUGUUUGUUUGUGGAUGGGGCAAACCCUGAGUUCUAGGAGUAAACUGAAUAAAACAUUGCUUUAGCUGGUGUCCGACCACUGGCCUAUCCAAGCUCAGCUGUGACUGCAGCCUUCAGCCUGCUGCGUUCUAGAUGGGUUAGUGGUUAAUGCUCAUUAACCACAUAAACACAUCUGGAAAGCAUCCCAUCGGGGAAGCCUGGGAUAAAGUAAUCUCACCCGUUUCUAUACCAAAAAGACAAAACACCCGCCCUUCAAGUCUUUUCAUCGCUUCCAUCAGCUUCAUGAUGCUGGGAGUUGUAAUCCUGCACAUUUGGAAGGCAUCAAGUUGGAGAAGUCCGGUCAGCCGACGCACACCUUCCCCUGGUUUCAGGCUGGGUCUUCCUCCAGAUACCUGGGACUGAAGCAGAGACCUUGCAGCGCACUGCGCCCCCCCCGCCCCCCGCAUAGGACAAACCUUUGGAACAGGCCACCCACCCACGCCUUGCCAACAGAGCGGAGCUACAGCGCGAACCGGGCAGAAAAACUAUCCUGAAGAUUUCCUCGACUCCUGAAAUCUUUCAUCCCGGAUUGCUCUCCACUCCACGGCUGAAUAUUCGUUUCGUUUCAGAAUCGCCAAUGCUUUAAACAGUCCCUUUUUCCUUAAGAGCAAGCACGCGACGUAAGUCGUCUUUUAAGAAAUUGCGAGGGAUUCCUUUGAGAGAGGGAUUUCCCAGAACAGAAUUUGCAAAGGCAAGUGCAACCUCCGCGUUACCUGAUGGGAGGUGCGCCGGUGUCUCCUCCCACCAGCUCGGAUGGGGUCUUCCUAUAGGGGAGCGAUCGGCGUUGCGGUCGGGGCGGGCCAGCCAAGCCGGGUAGGGGUGGCAAGCACGGCCGCUUCCUGUUUCCUCCUCUUCUAGCUUGCCUUUUCUGUGCAGGCAUGGCUGCCUUCUUAAAUCUGCAAAGCUUCGUCGAUGCGGUUAAGCCGUCGAUAUGCACUAGCCGCUUCGUAUUCGGAUGUGAGCUGAAUGGUAGUGCCCGAUCCUACACUUUUAAAGUGUCUGAAGAGGAUGACUCUGAUCACUUUCUAGCUCUGAAUAUGGUUUGCCUGUCAGAAGCAGCCAAGGAUGAAUGCAACAUUGUGGAGGUUGUAGGACGUGACUACCAGAACAAGGAGAUCGUUGUGCCAGUAGCCAACUUGAAGCUGUCAUGCCAGCCCUGGUUAUGUUUAGACAAUUUUGAGUUCCAACCUCCAGUGACCUUUCGUCUACGUUCAGGAUCUGGCCCUGUCCACCUUGCAGGACAGCACCAAAUAUUUCACAGAAAGGAUCUUUCAGAAGAUGAUGAGGAGGAGGACGAGGAGGAGGAUUUUAGUGAGGCCGAUGAGUCUUUAGAAGGGGAAGAAGAGCUGCCGCCUAUCAAACCAGCCAAGAAGCAACAGAAGUCUUAGCUCGGCUUCCCUAGAGGUACUCGAUGGGUUCAGCUGGCCAGAGAGCACCUGCAAAAGAAUCGCCAUUCCAUUCUUGGGUUUUCAGAACGAAUGAUUGCAGGAUUUUUAGCCCAUCCAGCUUGUGGAAGGCUGUCCUAGACCUGUGGAGGUGCUGCUGAUUUAAUUCUUCAUGUGAUGCCUUGUUGCUGUUCUCCGGCUAAAUAUCACAAAAGUAUUUUCUUGUAUUGCCUUGCCUGGGACUGAUGGCCAAUGGAAGUAAUUAGCACUACUCAUUCCAGGAAUGCAGGGAAGGCUGCUCUGCUUGAGGAGAUGCCGGAGAGUUACUAGCACCUUUCAGGAACUUUUUCCCUAGGAAGACUGGUAGCUACUGUGCACCCUUCUGAGCACACCUUAUUGGUGCUUAGAACGAGUCCCAAGCACCAGCCGACUGCUGCUGUUGAUGUGUGUUGAGUUAUUUCUCCAGGAGAAGUUGUUAAGAGAGCCUCAAUUUCCCCAUGCAUUUUACACUCUUUUUUUAAAGGACAUGUUCCUUCCAAAAUGGGUAAUGCCACUGAGUUCACUUCUGGAAGAAUAUUUUUCUGUGGGUCAGUUGCGGCCUCCAUAUGUAUUGAGCUAUAAUGUGCGCCAUCUGGAGGGCACCAGAUUGGGGAAAUUGCUCUUAGGGAGGCAUCUGAUCCUCCACCUCCUCACCAUCAAAAUACUUGCAGGAUUUGCUUUAUGGAAAAGUAUAGAUCUUUUAUUUUCCUACUGUGUUAACCAAAUUAUAAAUGUCCUUAUACGGGGCUUUUUAAAAAUCCAUUUACUAAUUCAUCUUGUACCACUGAAAGUGACUGUGUUGCCACCUGUUUUACUGCUUUUUCCCCCUUGAUGCCCAAAGAAGUUCAUUAGCUUGUCAUAGGGCAGGACUUCCAAAUGUCCAUGUUGUAUUUAAAUCUUGUGGCCAUAGUUGUUCCGCACUGUUGUGCCUCCACUUCUUAACAAAGGUGUCUUGCUUUUUAAAAUAAACACGUUUGUAAUACAU